CGGGCAGGCACACGUUACUCACAUUUCCCCAACUUUAUGUCUCUUGUCUAUCCUCCCAAAGUCACGUUGCAUCCAAGAAUUAAAAUCACACUUCCCCUUCCCCAGCUACAUUUCAAAAUUGGCGUUGAAAUCUUUUACUAUUCAUCUUCCUCUCAACUCUCAACUCUCAACUCAGUCAUUCUACAAUCACAAUCACAAUCACAAUGGGUUCGCUUUGUUUUCUAGAUGAACCUUUGCACUACCCUGUUGCUCGCAGAGACGAGUCCGUCGUCGACGACUACCACGGCGUUAAGAUCGCCGACCCUUAUCGAUGGCUGGAGGAUCCUGACGCAGAGGAAGUGAAAGAGUUUGUGGAAGAGCAGGUGAAAUUGACAGCGUCGGUGCUCGAGAAAUGCGAGACGAGAGAGAAGCUUCGCGAGAAGAUUACGAAGCUCUAUGAUCACCCGCGUUAUGGCGCGCCUUUUAAGCGUGGAGACAAGUACUUUUACUUCCACAACACUGGCCUCCAAGCCCAGAGCGUCCUCUACGUACAGGAUAGUUUGGAUGGAGAGACUGAGGUUUUGCUGGACCCAAAUGCGCUUAGUGAAGAUGGAACUGUCUCUUUGAGCUCGCUUUCAAUUAGUGAGGAUGCUAAAUACUUGGCCUAUGGGCUUAGUGCUAGCGGUAGCGAUUGGGUGACAAUUAAUGUAAUGCGGGUUGAGGAUAAGAAAGUUGAGGCUGAUACAUUAUCAUGGGUUAAGUUUUCGUCUAUUAGUUGGACACAUGAUGGCAAAGGGUUUUUCUACAGUCGAUAUCCUGCUCCCAAAGAGGGAGAAAAUGUAGAUGCUGGGACAGAGACCAAUUCUAACCUUUAUCAGGAGGUAUACUAUCAUUUCUUGGGUUCGGAUCAAUCUGAAGAUAUUUUAUGCUGGAGAGAUCCUGAAAACCCUAAAUACAGGUUCAGAGCCAGUGUUACACAUGAUGGGAAGUAUGUUCUCCUGUACAUCAAAAAGGAUUCUGGCCUUGUCAAUAAAUUUUAUUAUUGUGACUUUUCUGAUCUUCCUAAUGGGCUUGUGGGUUUGAAGGGAAAGAAAGCCUUGCUCCCGUUUAUUAAGCUUAUUGAUGAAUUUGAUGCUUUUUACGAUGCCAUUGCAAAUGAUGAUACUUUGUUUACCUUUCGGACAAAUAAAGAUGCUCCAAAAUAUAAGUUAAUCCGAGUAGAUCUGAAGGAACCAACUGUUUGGACUGAUGUUCUCCAAGAAGCCGAAAAGGAUGUACUUGAAUCAGCUUGUGCUGUUAAUGGUAACCAAAUGAUUGUGAGUUACCUGAGUGAUGUUAAGUAUGUUCUACAGACAAGGGACUUGAAAUCAGGUUCCUUUCUACAUCAAUUACCCAUUGACAUUGGGACAGUCUAUGGGAUUUCUGCAAGGCGCACAGACAAUGUGGUUUUUAUUGGGUUUACUAGCUUUCUUAGCCCUGGAAUUAUUUAUCAGUGUAAUUUAGAAACUGAGGUUCCCAAUAUGAAGAUAUUUCAUGAAAUUGUUGUUCCUGGGUUUGAUCGCUCAGAGUUCCAUGUUGAUCAGGUUUUUGUGCCUAGUAAGGAUGGUACCAAGAUACCAGUGUUCAUUGUGGCCAGAAAGAAAAUUCUUUUGGAUGGAUCACACUCUUGUUUGUUAUAUGGAUAUGGUGGAUUUAACAUUAGCAUUACACCAUCAUUCAGUGUUGGUCGUAUUGUACUCAUAAGGCAUCUAGGUGCUGUUUUCUGCAUAGCAAACAUUCGUGGUGGUGGAGAAUACGGAGAGGAAUGGCAUAAAGCAGGCUCACUUGCAAAGAAGCAGAAUUGCUUUGAUGACUUCAUUUCUGCCGCUGAAUAUCUUAUAUCUUCUGGCUAUACCCAACCCAGAAAGUUGUGUAUUGAAGGUGGAAGCAAUGGUGGGCUUCUUGUUGGGGCUUGCAUAAAUCAGAGACCUGAUCUUUUUGGUUGUGCUUUGGCUCAUGUUGGUGUUAUGGACAUGCUGCGAUAUCAUAAGUUUACUAUAGGCCAUUCAUGGACUUCUGAUUAUGGUUGUUCAGACAAGGAGGAAGAAUUUUACUGGCUAAUCAAGUAUUCUCCACUACAUAAUAUCAGGAGACCUUGGGAACAGCAUCUGGAUCUACCUUCCCAGUAUCCAUCCACAAUGUUAUUGAUUGCUGAUCAUGAUGAUAGGGUUGUGCCAUUGCACUCAUUGAAGUUACUAGCGGUAUCAGUUACAAAAGGGCUGCUAUUAGCAGUUACAUGAGUGCUGUCGUAGGUUAAGACCUCCAUAACAUAUAAGGGAGGGGUUACAAAAGAAACAAAAAGCUCCAUUUGAGCUCACCCAAUUUUUGUAAGAGAAUCAGCUGCUCUGUUGGCUUCCCUGAAGCAGUGAAGGAGAUGGACCUGUUGGAAAGCUUGGAGAGUGUCCCUGCAAUCAUUGACCAAAGGUUGAGUUAGCCUAUUAGAGCAGGAUGGUGAGGAUAGAAGCUUAAUGGCUUCAGUGGAGUCCACAUUAAUUAUAAGGUUGUGGAUAUUUAAAUUUUUUUUCCAUGUGGAUGCCAUCAUGCAGGGCCCAAAGCUCUGCCAUGAGAACAGAGGUAGUGCCGAUGUGCCUAGAGAAUCCCCGAACCCACAGUCCUUCUGAGUCUCAGAUGAGGCCUCCCCCACCAGCUUCAUCAUUAAUAACAAGAUGCAUCCGUUUUUAAUUUGAACCAGCCCAUGGGGGGGUUGAUACAAUUGCAGUUGGUUCGAGCUUUUGGCAUGGAUGGAGUGGAUGGAGAUGUAAGGAAGUGAUGCUCUAGAGCUUUGGCAAUACAGUCCUCAACAGGUGGGGGUUAGACUGCGAAGAUUGGAGGGCAACCUUAUUCCUGUUAAGCCAGAUGGACCAAAUACCGAAGAGAAAGAGCAGAUGCCAUGGGAUACGGUGGUGCCAAGAGGUUUGCUUGGAGGUGCAGUUGGCUUGUAGCCAAUCUGAGAUAGGCAAGCUGAAAGAGGAGAUAAGUCCAGAGGGAGGGCCGAGCCGGUUCCAAAAGCUUACUGAGUGAGGGCAUUCUCAAAGCAAUUGACUAAUAGAUUCUGAGUGAGCAUUGCAGACGGGGCAUUGCAUUCAUAGUUAGUGCAUCAACUACAUGCAUAUGCAAGGGCAUGGCUUGAUUAGCACACAUUGAAAACCAUGCAAUAUGUUCUGUGCACAAGCUUGGAGAAAAGCCCCCAGACCAAUCCUAUUAUCGGUCGCAUUGAGGGUAAGGCAGGACAUGGAG